rnacentral:miRNA from 1 species
UUCUUGAGCCUCAGAGGAAGCAUGGCCGUAGGGACACCUUGAUUUUGGACUUUCAGCCUCCAGAACUGUGAGAAAAUAAAAUUUGGUUGUUUUAAGCCACAAAGUUAGUGGUAAUUUGUUAUGGCAGCCCUAAGAA